rnacentral:rRNA from 1 species
UACGAAGGGUGCAAGCGUUACUCGGAAUUACUGGGCGUAAAGCGUGCGUAGGUGGUUUGUUAAGUCUGCUGUGAAAGCCCCGGGCUCAACCUGGGAAUGGCAGUGGAUACUGGCAAGCUAGAGUGCGGUAGAGGGGUGUGGAAUUCCCGGUGUAGCGGUGAAAUGCGUAGAGAUCGGGAGGAACACCAGUGGCGAAGGCGGCACCCUGGACCAGCACUGACACUGAGGCACGAAAGCAUGGGGAGCAAACAGG